GGAGAGGUGGCUGAGUGGUCGAAAGCGGCGGUCUUGAAAACCGUUGAACCUUGCGGUUCCGUGGGUUCGAAUCCCACCCUCUCCGCCA
rnacentral:tRNA from 1 species